GUGGGGUUGUGGCUCAGUGGUAGAGCACUUGCCUAGCACGUGUGAGGCACUGGGUUUGAUCCUCAGCACCACA
rnacentral:tRNA from 1 species